UACGGAGGGUGCAAGCGUUGUCCGGAAUGAUUGGGCGUAAAGCGUCCGCAGGUGGCAGUUCAAGUCUGCUGUCAAAGACCGGGGCUUAACUUCGGAAAGGCAGUGGAAACUGAACAGCUAGAGUAUGGUAGGGGCAGAGGGAAUUCCUGGUGUAGCGGUGAAAUGCGUAGAGAUCAGGAAGAACAUCGGUGGCGAAGGCGCUCUGCUGGACCAUAACUGACACUCAGGGACGAAAGCUAGGGGAGCGAAUGGG
rnacentral:rRNA from 1 species